CUGGUCUAAUAGGUUGCUUGAAGAUAUGUGAUGUGAUAAUAGGCAGGGGCAUUUUAGUGUUUUUGAUCGAAUGGGUGUCAACUAGCCGGAAGAGCUCUUAAAAUUCAGUUCGCCAACGUAUGCAUAUUGUCUUAAAUAAAAGCAUUUACAUUCUACUAAAGGACAUGAUGGUGUGGGUCACCAAAUGUUAAUGCUCAAGAAGACAAGCCAGCUUUUGAAACAGGCUGGCAACUAAGUAAAUCAUGAAGGAGAUA